GUGCAGCAGGCGCGAAACCUUCGCAAUGCGGGAAACCGCGACGAGGGGACUCCCAGUGCCUACGCUCAGCGUAGGCUGUUCCCGAGCCUAGAAAGCUCGGGGAGUAAGGGCUGGGUAAGACGGGUGCCAGCCGCCGCGGUAAUACCCGCAGCCCGAGUGGUGGCCACUAUUAUUGGGCCUAAAGCGUCCGUAGCCGGCCCGGUAAAUGCCUGGGUAAAUCGUGAGGCCUAACCUCACGAAUUCCGGGUAGACUGCCGGGCUAGGGGACCGGAGGAGGGAGAGGGUACUCCAGGGGUAGGGGUGAAAUCCUGUAAUCCCUGGAGGACCACCGGUGGCGAAGGCGCUCUCCUAGGACGGGUCCGACGGUGAGGGACGAAAGCCGGGGGAGCGAACCGGAUUAGAUACCCGCGUAGU
rnacentral:rRNA from 1 species